CUCAGGUGUCACCUGACACAACCUCCACACAUUCUACACUGGGUGGUACAGGUCACUCAGGUGUCACCUGACACAACCUCCACACAUUCUACACGUAGAAUGGGCUGUACAGGUCACUCGGGUGUCACCUGACACAACCUCCACACAUUCUACACUGGGUGGUACAGGUCACUCAGGUGUCACCUGACACAACCUCCACACAUUCUACAUGUAGACUGGGUGGUACAGGUCACUCAGGUGUCACCUGACACAACCUCCACACAUUCUACACUGGGUGGUACAGGUCACUCAGGUGUCACCUGACACAACCUCCACACAUUCUACACUGGGUGGUACAGGUCACUCAGGUGUCACCUGACACAACCUCCACACAUUCUACACUGGGUGGUACAGGUCACUCAGGUGUCACCUGACACAACCUCCAGUGUAGGUGUGCUCAGAGUUACUUGCAGAUAGAUAUCACAUCAGGGGAAAGAUCUCAUGAUAAAGAGAUUUGUGACGAAUCCUCACUGGACCAGUUUCAGUCCUUAAUUUUACAAUACAAAAAUAUUCAUUUCAAUCAUAUAUAUGUUUCACAUUCCUGUACCUAAUAUCAGUAAUGGUGUGGAUUUCACUCUGUCCAAACAAAACAUAGAAGUCCGGUUCAGACAGAUUCCACUGUACCUAUCUACCAGUUGAUUCUAACUCAGUUCCUCAGUAUCACACAUGACCCUCAUUAAGAUGUCUACACCUACCCUGAAAAUAGUUCUCAGACCUUGGAAGUAGCCCCUUUAUGUUACAUCAAAGCCUGAGGUACUCUGUGUGUUUACUUCCAGCAUGGACCAUGAGGACUAAGUAUACAAGGGAUGUAUGGUACAUGACUGUUGUGAAAAUGAAGGGCUGUCUGACAGUGGAUGUAUUCACUAUCAAAUUGGCUUCCAGAGCGUGACUGUCAAUGUUUUACUAUUACUGAUAGGCCGAUUUCGUAUGAACUAUGCAAUAUUGUUCUUUACACUGAAAGGCGGUGAUUGAUGUGAUUUUAGCUUGAUAAAGAAUACCUCCAUUAAUCAAUGUUAAUCAUCAAUGCACAUAUUUAUAUUCAUCUUUGGUGCCGGUAUGAACUGAUGUGCUAUUUUUCUCUUAACUUUGAAAGUUGAUUUUAGUUCACCUCAACCAAAGGUUCAUGUCAACAUGCAUCAUGACAACUCCUGUUUUGUCUUUGCAUGUUACCAUUUGGCAUCUCUCCUUGAAAACAUGGUCACCUGACAGCAUCUAGGAAAGUGAUCUUCCAUCUCCCAUGUAUAGUAUCUGUAAGAGAUGACCACCGAAACUCAGCUUAUAUUAGAAUUGGCCUCACAACAGCCAUAGUGAAGGAAAACCAAGUUCUAUGGAUAGUCAACUUCUUUAUUGCAAUGAGUGCGACAUUUCGGUGUAGGUACUAACACGUUAUCAAGCAAGUGAUCCAUAGAACUUGGUUUUCCUUCAUCUAUACAACUUCUAAAAUGCCUCUCAAAGAAGUUAACAGCCAUAUUGAAACCAUUAUGUUACUUCCAUUCAUUUAUGUAAGUUAUGUAUUUUGAAACAUGCUGCAAAUUGGGUCCAGUGGAAAACUUCACCCUUGAUCAUGUUUAUGUAUUUCCAUUCAUUUUGUGACAUCUCAAGGGAGACAACUGUGUUUUUGAAGUGGUAAGAUUGUGUACAUAAUCUAAACAACAGUGCUAUUCAUAUGUACUUACAUUAUUUCAAUCCAUUUUAAAACACAACAAAUACCACUAUUGCAGCCAUAUUGCAUACUACACCAAUGUUUACACUUGUAUCAGUGUGUGAUGUUAUGUAUGAUGUAUAUGUGCAGGUGACAAUUCAAGCCCACUAUGUAGCCUUUGGGCUAAGUGCUGUGUAACAAUAAUGUAUUUCUAUACUAUUUGGCUGAUCUACUUAACUGUGUUUGUACAAAGUGUAUGUGUGUGCGUAUGCUACAGUCUGUAAAUCCUGGGAUGUUUUCAUACUGGAAUUUGAACUUCUUGCCUUCUCCUAGUGGUCAGACUGUGGCCACUCUAAGCAAGGAAAUUAAUGUAGAACUGAGAUAUCACAAAAUCACUUUGUAUCACUGGCUGCUUUCAUAACCUGGAUGUAUAUAUGAGGAUAUAACUUAUAAUCAUGAAGUGUCCUAAAUAUGCAUAAUGUGUUAUGAUGUAUUUUCUGUUAAAGAGUGCUUGCGACUCUCUUGUAAUAGUUGAAGGAAAGUAGGUUUUGUUUCAAGUUUGGUAAAAGAAAUGGUAAUUGGAAGCAUGAAGAUGUAAUGGUACAUGGAUGGUGAACCACAUUGGUAUUCUGACUUUUGUUCCCAGAAUAGUGCUCUCUAUUAUUGUUUGGUUUGUGACUUUUAAGUAAAUUAUCAUAUAAAUCUACAA